rnacentral:lncRNA from 1 species
UUUUAUUCUUUUAAAACAUAGAGUGUUGCCCUUAAGUGAAGAAAAGAUCCCAAAGAGGACAAAUUAAAAGAUCCCAAAGAGGACACAUUAAAAUAUCCCAAAGAGGACAAACUAAAAGAUCCCAAAGAGGACAAAUGAGCGGUACAUAGAAAGAGCCAAAGAGGCCAGAAAAAAAUUAAAGAAAUAAAAAGAGAGAAGGGGGUAACACUACUAUUCCUUUUGAAAGAUCCACACUCGUACUCCAUCGUUAUAUUUGUACUCCAUAGAGAUUAUCAUUCAUGCAUAACUAUGUGGGGACCCUUUACACUAUAGAACUUGGCUUGUAUAUUCCAAUGACGAGCCUCCUCAAAUGAGCUCUAGGUCUUGAUGAGCAAGCAAGCUGGAUGCACCCCCACUAGUUCCAUUGGAGAGCUUACCUUAGAUCAUAUGUGCAUCCGUUGCAUGAAAAUACC